UCCGCCAUUGCUUGCCCCUUUCUAUCUCCCACCUACAAUCCUCAUCAGAACCCUUCCCAAAGCGAUCAUUUCUCUCUCUAUCUCGCUCACCUCUUUCUCUCGACACAUCGGAGCUCCCAUUCCACUCCUUCCGUUCUCUCCCUCUAUUUUGCUUCUACUGAUCCGAACCUGAUGAAUCGCUAUCGUCUUCCGAUCGACGAUUGUUC
rnacentral:lncRNA from 1 species